rnacentral:rRNA from 1 species
UACGUAGGGUGCGAGCGUUGUCCGGAAUUAUUGGGCGUAAAGGGCUCGUAGGCGGUUUGUCGCGUCGGGAGUGAAAACACUGGGCUUAACCCAGUGCUUGCUUUCGAUACGGGCAGACUAGAGGUAUGCAGGGGAGAACGGAAUUCCUGGUGUAGCGGUGAAAUGCGCAGAUAUCAGGAGGAACACCGGUGGCGAAGGCGGUUCUCUGGGCAUGAUCUGACGCUGAGGAGCGAAAGCGUGGGGAGCAAACAGG